rnacentral:rRNA from 1 species
AACGAACGCUGGCGGCAGGCUUAACACAUGCAAGUCGAACGGUUGUAGCAAUACAGCAGUGGCAGACGGGUGAGUAACACGUGGGAACCUUCCUAGGGGUACGGAACAACUCAGGGAAACUUGAGCUAAUACCGUAUACGUCCGUGAGGAGAAAGUUUUAACGCCCCUAGACGGGCCCGCGUAGGAUUAGGUAGUUGGUGAGGUAACGG